rnacentral:misc_RNA from 1 species
CAACAAGGAGUAAGAAGUUGUGAGAAGAGAAAAUAGUAAUCAACUAGAAUAACUGAAGAAAAUCACAAGAAUUCCAUACAAAAAGCCUAAAGAUGAGUGCUUAUGACAGGAAAAUUCGUUCUCCGGUGGCUGCUUCUAAAGACAAUCCAGCUACGGAUCCAAGACAAAUGCGAAGGAUAAUAGCAGAGGAUCCUGACUGGAGCCUUGCUACUGUCCCAUUACUUACAGAACUCUGUAUAAAACAUAUUGUUCAAAAUUUUGAAGAUCAUCCUAUUCUUGAUGGCCUUCUUCCAAAACACAAAAGUAAAGUAUUAGAAGCAUUAUCUACAGGAAUAUCUAUGAAAGUCACCUCCAGCUUAGUAUCUGAUGAAGGUUAUUGGAAAAAGUGUUGUAAGUCUCGAUGGGAAGUUUGUGAUGUUGCGAAGCAUGGUAAUAGCUGGAAGAGGAUGUAUUUUGAAAGAAAUUUAGAAGGAAUUAUUGAAAGCUUUGUUCCAGAAACUACAGAUCCCAUGCUUUUAUAUGAAACCCUCAAGCUGUCAGCAGCAUAUGUUAAGUCACUAACCAUAAAACAACUGUUACCUCCUGUCAAAGAAGCACCACUGAAAGAUGAUGAUGCAUCUGAUGCAGGAAGUGAUGCUGGUCAAGAUGGUCCUAAUAUUGAUCAUUUUGAUUUUGGUGUGAUUAUUCCUAAGCUACCUUACCUAGAGGAGUUACACAUUACAUAUGGAGUGAGAGAUUGUGGGAUGAACUUUGAAUGGAAUUUAUUUCAGUUCACUUCAAGAGAUUGUCUUCUUCUUGCUAAGNCCGUCAAGGCAUGUAACAGUCUCAAACUUUUUCAUCUUCACCGUAGUCAAGUGGAUGAUGAAAAAGUACGAGUCCUGAUCAGUCAUCUACUGGACCACCCUUCUCUUCUUACUCUUGACUUGUCCCACAAUAAGAUCGGUGACAGUGGAGCAAGAGCUAUCGGUAAACUUAUAAAUGGACGGUGUAAAUUAACGAAGCUGGAUCUUUGUGAUAACAAAAUACGCGCCAAUGGAGCUGCAGCCAUUGGGCACGCCCUCGGCAAGAACCACACCUUGAAAGAGAUCAACUUGAGAAUGAACCGGGAAUUUUAAAGACUCGAAACCCCAAAGUGCCGUAAUUUACACUUCCUGUAGACGUCGCCGUCGCAGAUUUUGCGAAUCUUAAAGUCCCUACUACUGCUCUACCAACCACGAUUUAGGUUGCCAAUGGGACUUGGAGACGAUGGUGGUCAAGCUAUCUGUCGAGCUCUACUGAAAAACGAUCACCUAACCCAUGUACAUAUUGGAAGUAACGACUUGGGUGAACCUACCGCGGCAGUCCUAGCCCAGGUUUUAGUUACGAAC